rnacentral:rRNA from 1 species
UGACGAGCGGCGGACGGGUGAGUAAUGUCUGGGAAACUGCCUGAUGGAGGGGGAUAACUACUGGAAACGGUAGCUAAUACCGCAUAACGUCGCAAGACCAAAGAGGGGGACCUUCGGGCCUCUUGCCAUCAGAUGUGCCCAGAUGGGAUUAGCUAGUAGGUGGGGUAAUGGCUCACCUAGGCGACGAUCCCUAGCUGGUCUGAGAGGAUGACCAGCCACACUGGAACUGAGACACGGUCCAGACUCCUACGGGAGGCAGCAGUGGGGAAUAUUGCACAAUGGGCGCAAGCCUGAUGCAGCCAUGCCGCGUGUGUGAAGAAGGCCUUCGGGUUGUAAAGCACUUUCAGCGAGGAGGAAGGUGGUGAACUUAAUACGUUCAUCAAUUGACGUUACUCGCAGAAGAAGCACCGGCUAACUCCGUGCCAGCAGCCGCGGUAAUACGGAGGGUGCAAGCGUUAAUCGGAAUUACUGGGCGUAAAGCGCACGCAGGCGGUUUGUUAAGUCAGAUGUG